UACGGAGGGGGCUAGCGUUGUUCGGAAUUACUGGGCGUAAAGCGCGCGUAGGCGGCUUUGUAAGUUAGAGGUGAAAGCCCGGAGCUCAACUCCGGAACUGCCUUUAAGACUGCAUCGCUAGAAUUGUGGAGAGGUGAGUGGAAUUCCAAGUGUAGAGGUGAAAUUCGUAGAUAUUCGGAAGAACACCAGUGGCGAAGGCGACUCACUGGACACAUAUUGACGCUGAGGUGCGAAAGCGUGGGGAGCAGACAGG
rnacentral:rRNA from 1 species